UACGUAGGGUGCAAGCGUUAAUCGGAAUUACUGGGCGUAAAGCGUGCGCAGGCGGUGAUGUAAGACAGAUGUGAAAUCCCCGGGCUCAACCUGGGAACUGCAUUUGGGACUGCAAGGCUGGAGUGCGGCAGAGGAGACUGGAAUUCCCGGUGUAGCAGUGAAAUGCGUAGAUAUCGGGAGGAAUACCGAUGGCGAAGGCAGGUCUCUGGGCUGACACUGACGCUCAUGCACGAAAGCGUGGGGAGCAAACAGG
rnacentral:rRNA from 1 species